rnacentral:rRNA from 1 species
GAUGAACGCUGGCGGCGUGCCUAAUACAUGCAAGUCGAGCGAACGGACGAGAAGCUUGCUUUUCUGAUGUUAGCGGCGGACGGGUGAGUAACACGUGGAUAACCUACCUAUAAGACUGGGAUAACUUCGGGAAACCGGAGCUAAUACCGGAUAAUAUUUUGAACCGCAUGGUUCAAAAGUGAAAGACGGUCUUGCUGUCACUUAUAGAUGGAUCCGCGCUGCAUUAGCUAGUUGGUAAGGUAACGGCUUACCAAGGCAACGAUGCAUAGCCGACCUGAGAGGGUGAUCGGCCACACUGGAACUGAGACACGGUCCAGACUCCUACGGGAGGCAGCAGUAGGGAAUCUUCCGCAAAGGGCGAAAGCCUGACGGAGCAACGCCGCGUGAGUGAUGAAGGUCUUCGGAUCGUAAAACUCUGUCAUUAGGGAAGAACAUAUGUGUAAGUAACUGUGCACAUCUUGACGGUACCUAAUCAGAAAGCCACGGCUAACUACGUG